rnacentral:rRNA from 1 species
AUGAACGCUGGCGGCGUGCUUCACACAUGCAAGUCGAACGGGAAACCUUUUAAUGAAGCUUCGGCAGAUUUAGCUGGUUUCUAGUGGCGGACGGGUGAGUAACGCGUGGGUAACCUGCCUUAUACAGGGGGAUAACAGUCAGAAAUGACUGCUAAUACCGCAUAAGCGCACAGGACCGCAUGGUCCGGUGUGAAAAACUCCGGUGGUAUAAGAUGGACCCGCGUUGGAUUAGCUUGUUGGUGGGGUAACGGCUCACCAAGGCGACGAUCCAUAGCCGGCCUGAGAGGGUGAACGGCCACAUUGGGACUGAGACACGGCCCAGACUCCUACGGGAGGCAGCAGUGGGGAAUAUUGCACAAUGGGGGAAACCCUGAUGCAGCGACGCCGCGUGAAGGAAGAAGUAUCUCGGUAUGUAAACUUCUAUCAGCAGGGAAGAUAGUGACGGUACCUGACUAAGAAGCCCCGGCUAACUACGUG